rnacentral:rRNA from 1 species
UACAGAGGUCUCGAGCGUUAGGCGGAAUCACUGGGGCUUAAAGCGUGUGUAGGCGGAUCGUUAAGUACCUUGUGAAAUCCCACGGCUUAACCGUGGAACUGCUUGGUAUACUGGCGGUCUUGAGCCAGCUAGGGGCUACCGGAACAAAUGGUGGAGCGGUGAAAUGCGUAGAUAUCAUUUGGAACGCCAAUGGUGAAAACAGGUAGCUGGGGCUGUGCUGACGCUGAGACACGAAAGCCAGGGGAGCAAACGGG